CGUAACUUUCGGUUGCUGUCGUCGGCGUCAUUGGAUUCACCGUUUAAUAGAUAAGGAUGCUUGGUAAGCGUAGAUGUCGCUACGUGCAAUUCGAAGACGUGAAGAAAUGAACAGAUGCACGAAGCACAUUUAUUACCACCAGAUAGAGGAGGAAUUGAAAGAGGAAUUUUUCUUUUCGUAUAUCUAAACCGUCGAUCGACCGACCAUCCUUGUCUUCGCAACAAGCAACUUUUCGAAGAAAAAAAAUUGAACUAUUCUAUCAGGACCCCUACGGGCGUUUGACCUCCUAUCACCGAGGGCCACGAUAAAACGGACAAUGAUCCUGGAAGUAGAUACAUUUACUAAAGGUUUAAUCUGCUAACUUUUAGUAGUCACUUCAAUUAACUUAAAAUAGCUUA